AACAACUUUUAAGUGCAUACCGCCACCUACUGCGCUGGAGUGUGUAACAUCAUCUCACUCAACUACAGACCCCAAAAAGAUUCCAUUCCCGCCCUGCCUCCUGAACCCUGUCUUUCCAACUCAAACAAUAUGUAGCAAAAUGACAUGUUCAACAUUUUCUUUAACCCCACAGUUUUCACUGUUUCUUUUCCCCAAUAAAAACAAGGUAGCAUUCA